GACGAACGCUGGCGGCAUGCCUAACACAUGCAAGUCGAACGGAGAUUAUUUCGGUAAUCUUAGUGGCGAACGGGUGAGUAACGCGUGGGCAACCUGCCCUCUAGAUGGGGACAACAUCCCGAAAGGGGUGCUAAUACCGAAUGUGACAGCAAUCUCGCAUGAGGAUGCUGUGAAAGAUGGCCUCUAUUUAUAAGCUAUCGCUAGAGGAUGGGCCUGCGUCUGAUUAGCUAGUUGGUGGGGUAACGGCCUACCAAGGCGAUGAUCAGUAGCCGGUCUGAGAGGAUGAACGGCCACAUUGGGACUGAGACACGGCCCAGACUCCUACGGGAGGCAGCAGUGGGGAAUCUUCCGCAAUGGGCGAAAGCCUGACGGAACAAUGCCGCGUGAGUGAUGAAGGAAUUCGUUCCGUAAAGCUCUUUUGUUUAUGACGAAUGUGCAGAUUGUGAACAAUGAUCUGUAAUGACGGUAGUAAACGAAUAAGCCACGGCUAACUACGUG
rnacentral:rRNA from 1 species